rnacentral:rRNA from 1 species
GAUGAACGCUGGCGGCGUGCCUAAUACAUGCAAGUCGAGCGAACAGACGAGGAGCUUGCUCCUCUGACGUUAGCGGCGGACGGGUGAGUAACACGUGGAUAACCUACCUAUAAGACUGGGAUAACUUCGGGAAACCGGAGCUAAUACCGGAUAAUAUAUUGAACCGCAUGGUUCAAUAGUGAAAGACGGUUUUGCUGUCACUUAUAGAUGGAUCCGCGCCGCAUUAGCUAGUUGGUAAGGUAACGGCUUACCAAGGCAACGAUGCGUAGCCGACCUGAGAGGGUGAUCGGCCACACUGUAACUGAGACACGGUCCAGACUCCUACGGGAGGAAGCAGUAGGGAAUCUUCCGCAAUGGGCGAAAGCCUGACAGAGCAACGCCGCGUGAGUGAUGAAGGUCUUCGGCUCGUAAAACUCUGUUAUUAGGGAAGAACAAAUGUGUAAGUAACUAUGCACGUCUUGACGGUACCUAAUCAGAAAGCCACGGCUAACUACGUG